UUUGGUUUCAGUUCCUGUUUAUGCUCAGUGCAAUAAAUGGUGGACAAAGUCUCUUCUCUUUUUUUGCCUUUUGGAGAGAAGAAGAGAAACAAAGUUCUAGUUGAUUCUUAAGUGGCCACGUAUUCAUCCAAUGUCUAGUAAGAGAGAACAUUGCCAAGUGGAAGUCCGAGUCCUGAGGAGCAGCUAUCUGUUUAAGUGAAAGGAACUGGCAAGCCUGACAUGCUCUGAGAGGCACUGGAAAGGCUGAGGAUUGAGCAGAAAGAAGGGACUGAAGUGAAUUUUCAACUACUUCCCAGGGUCGUCAGCCUCGCCACCUCCGGAAUUUUCUGAGUCAUCAGGAGCUUCAGCAUGUGAGGUAAAGGAAAGAAACGUCAAGAGCAGGACUUACAGACUCCAUCCUUUUGAAGUUUAUCUUUCAACCGUGUGUCUUACUUUAUGGAUGCUUUUCCGUCAUCUCUUUGUCAUUCCUUCCCUCAUCCUCUGCCUUAAUUUACAACUCCUUAUACUAAAUGUCACAGCUUUCC